GGGUGUGACCAUACCCGCACCGGUGCACUGGAUCCCAUCAGAACUCCGCAGUUAAGCGUGCUUGGGCGAGAGUAGUACUGGGAUGGGUUACCUCAUGGGAAGUCCUUGUGUUGAACCCU